CAUGCUGCCUGCAAUUCCCCCAUAAGAACGAAGCAUUUCCACAGAAAGCCCGUGUGAACAUGCAGACCUGAGACCUGAAGCGACAGUGCCUUCUCUGCGAGCAGUGAAAAUAUGGUUGCUGAUCCCUGCCUUCAAGGAAUGAUGACCAGUUUCCUGGAGACUCACAGCCUCUCAGCAGAGACCACAGGCACUGGUUUCACCUUCCACUUUUCCACCAUGCUGUGAAAGCCAUGAGGUUCUCACCAGAUGUGGCCACCCGAUCUUGGACUUCCCAGCCUCCAGAACUGUAAACAAAAUAAAUCUCUUUUCUUUAUAAAUUACACAGUCUUGAGUA